AUCUAUGGCCAUAAUACCCUGAUCUUGGGAGCUAAGUAGAGUCAGGCCUGGCCAGCACUUGGAUGGGAGAAUGCCUGAGAAUACCAGGUGCUCUGGGCU
ensembl:rRNA 5S_rRNA 5S ribosomal RNA